UUUUAGCCCCGAUAGUAGUGGAAAUCCUUUGUGUCCUGAUUUUUUCAGGACACAAAGAUUGCAGCGGAUAGCGGGAUCAGCU
rfam:Flavobacterium fryxellicola strain DSM 16209 FBFR20, whole genome shotgun sequence.